rnacentral:rRNA from 1 species
GACGAACGCUGGCGGCGUGCUUAACACAUGCAAGUCGAGCGGAAAGGCCCUUCGGGGUACUCGAGCGGCGAACGGGUGAGUAACACGUGGGUAACCUGCCCUUCACUCUGGGAUAACUCCGGGAAACCGGGGCUAAUACCGGAUACGACCACUUUAGGCAUCUUCGGUGGUGGAAAGUUUUUCGGUUGGAGGAUGGACCCGCCGGCCUAUCAGCUUGUUGGUGGGGGUAAGUGGCCUACCAAGGCAGUGACGGGUAGCCGGCCNGAGAGGGCGACCGGCCACACUGGGACUGAGACACGGCCCAGACUCCUACGGGAGGCAGCAGUGGGGAAUAUUGCGCAAUGGGCGGAAGCCUGACGCAGCGACGCCGCGUGAGGGAUGACGGCCU